CAUUUUUGAAAAGCUGGCAAGCCAUCAUUCUAUCCCAGCUCUCAGAAUUAUGCCAAUGGUUGAAUUAGAUGACAAAGGAGAAGCGGUAAUUGAGGAUGUUGGGGGAAAUCAGGCAGGGAGAUCACGUUUUUUGGGACAUCAGAGUUCCAUGGUGGUCCUAGAAAAAAAGUCCUCAUAGGUAUUGCCUCUGGUGUGCUUCCUGUGGCAUUCUAAGGUGGUUCUUCUCACUGCCUUAGAAUCCUCUGAGCAUGUUCAUCUCAACUUUGCUAUGGAAAGCUUUUGGAAUUGGUGAGGAGUCUCAGGAUGUCCAGUUGGAAAUGCAACCCUCAGGGCGUUUUACUCCCUAACUCAGGAAGCACUAGGGGCUGAAGAGUAAAAAUUCUUCACUUCAUGUUCACCUACUUGUACAUAUCAUAUGUAGCUAACAAUGAAUAAGUGCAGCAGAUAUAAUGGUAAAUUUCAUUUUGCUCUAUUUUUGAACUAUCUGCAUUUCAUUCUAUUAAAGAAAUGAAAGCUGUUGGGCUUGUUACUAAGGAUACUUAUCAGAAUCCGCUCUAUUAUUUAAUUUUUGUAUUGGUACAUGUUUAGCCAGGUAACCGUGUAAAGAAAUUACACCACUGCCUUCCACCUCUUAUUAAAAGAACUCUUGAAAAGUUUGGUUCAAAUCUCAAUCUUGUAAAUGUUUACUUCUGGACAAUUUGAUCAAUUCAUGAAACAGAAGCAGUGUGAUAUGCCUGGGAAAUUACACACCUUGUAAUAUGUCACAGCCUCUUCAAGCAAAUCAAGAAUACCAAGACUCACUCAGAUAUGAAGUUAGUUUUUGGAUCACUGGCUUCUUCAGAGAGACUCAGAAGAUGCCUUAUUAUUUUUGUGAUUUAUUUCUGGGCUUCUCACAUAUCCCUGUCAUACAGCCAAACGUGAGCUGAUGCUGACAAUAGUUUAUUGGCCAUGGAGAAAAUCCUCAGUCUUGAUGGAACUCCAGGAUGAUACCAAAUGAACAGCGAGGAACAUCAGGAUGCCAAAAAGUCCUUAUUUACAGAGGAAAGGAGGCUAGCUGCUUAUGUGUUCAAUGAAGUAAUAGAUGCCUCUUAAAGUAUUGAAAUAAUACUGCAUAGUGUAUUGCCAUAAUUUGGCAAUACAGUGAUAGCACAUUUUAAUUUAACAAAUUCAAUAAUUUAGUAAGAAUAUAAAAUGAAAAAAACAGCAAAUAUCCAGAACUUCUCAAUCAUAAUUCAUUUUUUACAGUAAUGUCAAUCAAUGAAAAGCUUAAAUACAUAUUUAUAAGCUGGCAGGCCAAAUAUUAUGUUAGAAAUACAUAAUGUCACAUUCAAUCUACAUAUACAUGUAUAAAUAUAUGCAUAUACACACAUAUGCAAGUUAAAUCUUGAAUGUCAUAUUUUGGAUACUUCUGAGUAAACUUAUGACCUCCUGCUUGAUCGGAACCAAAGCAUAUCACAUAUACCUAAAGUCAAAUUUUUGGGCAUAUAAACACAACUAUUUAAUACCUAAACAGGUAUACAUCAUUGAGUUUCUGGUUCAGGAUAAACACCUUCUCUCAAAGACUGAGUCAGAAAUUCGUAACUCUUAGAUAGGAAGUUAGGACACCUAUAUUCUGAUCCUGGCUUUACAGAGAGGCAUUUUGGGAAAGUUUUUUUUUUUUUUUUUUUUUAAAAAAAAAACCUCUCAAGGGUCUAACUUUACCCAUCAUAAAAUAAUUUUGGUGCAAGGGUAGUGGCACAUUUUAUUUAUUUGGGAUACCAUGCAGAUGCAACCUAGCCCCAUUCUUUAUGCAAAGUAGAUUAUCCGUGCAUUUCUUCUGCAUUGAUAGUGAAUCCUUACUGGGGACAACUCACUCCAUUUGGCAACAAUCUUUAAUGGACAGGCAAUAUAUAACAUUGCUGAAAGUCUCUUAGCACUAAUUUAAUUUUAUAAAAGGAUCAUUACCAUCAAAGAAAGACAGUACCUAAUUCAUAAAGUAGAUAUGAGGACUAAGUAAGUAAAUGGAAUGUGCUUAGAACAGAGAAUAGCAUGUAGUGAGCACUCCAGUUUUAGUGAUGAUGAUCACAGUUACUACUAUCACUACUACCAUAUGCUAAGCUGGUAACUAGAAUAAAAGUUAAAACAGCCAUGGUCUCUGCCUCAGUAGAAUUUAGAUUCACGCAGUGUAUGGGUUGCAAAUUCACAGUCAGGUUGUACAAAUAUAAGAAAUGAGGCUGUGGCAGUGAUACCUGUAGACCCCACACCUGGCUGGAGAGGGCAGGGACAACUUGGCUCUAGCAGGUUGUUACCUUCUGGGAAUGAGGUCCAUUGUUGCCAAAUCUUGCUUUUUAAGAGAUGUUAGCAACUUAAUUAUGUGAAAUGUCCCAACUUGUAAGAAUGGACAAUAAAUGUAAAUUAAUAAAACAAAACAAAAACAAGCUCUGUGGGCUAAAAGCAACUGCAUGUUGAUGGUUCCUAGAAGUGCCAGUCAACUUUUUGACAUGCUGGCUAUAGUAUCUCCAAUUCUUCACUUUUCAAGAAGGCCUGAACAGAUGUGGGCAAAGCUUACUUGUCAAUUAAUCUUUAAUUCUUGGCUCCCCCAUGAAAUGCACAGAAUUUAUAAGCUGGGAGCUUGCAGGGCACAUAUGAAUGUUAGAGAUUAUCUCUUCAGUGACCACAGAGGCACAAAGAGGACCAAUGGGGUGGAUUGGCCAGGACUCAUAUGACAAGGGAUUAGACAACUACCUUUUGCCAGAAAACACAAGGAGACUGUAGAGCACAGAUAGGUGAAGAGUUUAACACAAUUUAUUUUAUGCUUAAAUAAUCGACUAG
rnacentral:lncRNA from 10 species